GCGGGAGGCUCUGACGCGCGGUCCACGCAACGGUCGCCGGGACCGCGCCGAGCCACUGGCGAGACCGACCCGC
rnacentral:ncRNA from 1 species